AGCUCCAAUAGCGUAUAUUUAAGUUGUUGCAGUUAAAAAGCUCGUAGUUGGAUUUCGGAUGAGUGCGACCGGUCCGCCGCUACGGUGUGCACUGGUUGCGUUUAUCUUGCUGUCGGGGACGCGCUCCUGGCCUUAACUGGCUGGGACGUGGAGUCGGCGAAGUUACUUUGAAAAAAUUAGAGUGUUCAAAGCAGGCCUACGCUCUGAAUACAUUAGCAUGGAAUAACGCGAUAGGACUCUGGUCUUAUUGUGUUGGUCUUCGAGACCGGAGUAAUGAUUAAGAGGGACAGUUGGGGGCAUUCGUAUUUCAUUGUCAGAGGUGAAAUUCUUGGAUUUAUGAAAGACGAACUUCUGCGAAAGCAUUUGCCAAGGAUGUUUUCAUUA
rnacentral:rRNA from 1 species